UCCUGAAUUGCGGGAAGGUCGACUAGG
rnacentral:sRNA from 1 species